CUCUAUCCCUCUCUGAGACCACAGGGGGUCAACAGGCAGCAGACUGGAUUGGGUAUGGCUGCUUGUAGGGCACUGUUUCUGCUGAGAAGGGAGCUGUGAGAAGAGCCCUGAGGACAGAGGGAUCCACUGUGGAAUCACUGUAGCCCCGGGGAGCAGCUUGUGCAAAGGCCCUGGAAUGAUGAAGUCCUACAUGUGUGAGGAGAAGCAAGGGAAUGAGUGGGGCUGAGAGGUGUGAGCAAUGGACUUCCUCUUUACUGAGGUAGAAAAAGCAGCCAGAACCUCCACCCUGAAAAGUGUGGGCCACUUCUACCACAAGGAGCCACAGGAGUGUCCUGAGUGGAGGGAAGUGCUACAGAAGAGUCCCUGUGCCUCACUGCAGCCAAUUCAACUACCACCAGCCCCCGGGCGCUGUCCGCGGUGCUGGAGGAGCCGCGGAAACCAC
rnacentral:lncRNA from 1 species